rnacentral:rRNA from 2 species
AGGGUUUCGGCUCGUAAAACUCUGUUGUUAAAGAAGAACAUAUCUGAGAGUAACUGUUCAGGUAUUGACGGUAUUUAACCAGAAAGCCACGGCUAACUACGUGCCAGCAGCCGCGGUAAUACGUAGGUGGCAAGCGUUGUCCGGAUUUAUUGGGCGUAAAGCGAGCGCAGGCGGUUUUUUAAGUCUGAUGUGAAAGCCUUCGGCUCAACCGAAGAAGUGCAUCGGAAACUGGGAAACUUGAGUGCAGAAGAGGACAGUGGAACUCCAUGUGUAGCGGUGAAAUGCGUAGAUAUAUGGAAGAACACCAGUGGCGAAGGCGGCUGUCUGGUCUGUAACUGACGCUGAGGCUCGAAAGUAUGGGUAGCAAACAGGAUUAGAUACCCUGGUAGUCCAUACCGUAAACGAUGAAUGCUAAGUGUUGGAGGGUUUCCCCCCUU